rnacentral:lncRNA from 1 species
ACAAAUUCCCUCACCACCGUUGGUUGAUACGAGUCAGAAUCAAUGAGAGUGUAGAUCAACCCCGAGUCGACAACAACCUUCUUAACAUCAAAGAGUUUUUCGUCUGUGAGGGAGAGCCUUUGCUGAUUGAUGAACUUACGAGGUUUAAGGGCUUGAUAUCUCUCCAAAGCGGAAACCGAGAUAAAACGAGCGGUAAUGGGUGUCCUCUUAGGGCGCAUCAGAUGGGAAAACUCACGAGCCCUUGCUUCAAAGAUCUCGCGACUGGCCUCGUAGCGAGGUUCCUUGGGAAGGAAAUUGUCACCUUCAUCUUCAGACGAGGCUGAGAGAGACUCAGCAUGCGGCAGGGAAGAUUUUGGUGGCGGAGCAGUCGAGGAAGCAGUUCGCUUGCGAUGACGCUUGCGAGAGCUGGAGGGACCAGUCGAGAGAGACGGAGAUGAAGCUGUUUCAGUAGUCUCCAUGACUUGUUUCAUACGAGCACUUCUUCGAGAGGGCUGCAUGUUGCAUUUUGAGGAAGAGAGAUGGAUGUGUCGGCCAAGAGAACCAAGAUGUGACAUAAGGAGAGAUAACCCUAGCAACAACUUAGAUGGGCCAUUAGUAACACAAGUAGACAGGCCCGAAUUGCCCACAAAGAAUAUAAAUGCAAUCUGUUUUUUUUUUUUUUAAACUUAGCACUUAAAAAUAUAACCAGUAAUGAAGACAUCUCUUACCACCGUGAAAAGAGAUUGAGAGUAUCAGCCGGACCAUGACGAGCAACGUAUCAAAAGAAAUACCACUAUAUACAAUAGAACAUGAAGGCACACUCUCUUAUGCCUUUUGUUUGGGAGAAGAGUCGCAGAGAUCGUGUACUACACAUAACUUGUCACCAAAAACUUUGUAGAAAUCAAUGAAACCAACCCAAGCAUGUAGCUAUUUCUCAGCCGAGUAGCUGUCACAGGCGAGAUUCUCCUAGGAUUGCCAUCCAAGCUCAACUCCAUCGUCACACUCAUCUGUAAAGUCUGGAAACACACUUUAGACAUCUUGUGUCAUCGAUCACUCCAACCCGAUAGAGAAAUAUUUUUUUUUUUCAAGAACAGAAAUCCAGCUCUGCCUAGUCCGGGUAGUGAUCGAAGUCAGAGUCAAAGUGGAGUAACACCCAGCUCCAAAACGAGUACCCAUCAUUCGAGGCCUUUUUUUUGUCUAACACUUUUUUCAGUUGUUUAGCACACAGACUUCUCCAUUUAAGCACUCAGCCUCUUUUGUGUUUCUUCAUUCAAUCCAGACAGUGAUCAAGACUCAAACCGAAAAUGUUGUAGCAUCCUGGUCCGAGAUGAGUGCCUUUCACAAGUGAAUCAGACGAGUGUGGGAUCAGAAAUAAAGAUGAAUAGCUUUCAUAGAGAGAACUUGUCGGUUCAAGGUGUUGAUGUUGGGGUGACAUCGAAACAUGCAGCAUCACAUAUUUACAGCGACUUUCCUCUCAGACAUGACUUUCUCAGGGAUUCACGAUUUCCAACGCCUUCCGGAGACCCAGAAAGGUGUUGUAAUCUAGUGGCUUAGUAAAUAGAUCAACCAGUUGAAUUGAUCAAGCUUGGCGAGACAUCUACCAACGAUCCUCUAACAUAGACAGCCACGCCAUCGUCUCGUUCUUCAGCAUCCAACAGUUUAGCCACAAAUUCCCUCACCACCGUUGGUUGAUACGAGUCAGAAUCAAUGAGAGUGUAGAUCAACCCCGAGUCGACAACAACCUUCUUAACAUCAAAGAGUUUUUCGUCUGUGAGGGAGAGCCUUUGCUGAUUGAUGAACUUACGAGGUUUAAGGGCUUGAUAUCUCUCCAAAGCGGAAACCGAGAUAAAACGAGCGGUAAUGGGUGUCCUCUUAGGGCGCAUCAGAUGGGAAAACUCACGAGCCCUUGCUUCAAAGAUCUCGCGACUGGCCUCGUAGCGAGGUUCCUUGGGAAGGAAAUUGUCACCUUCAUCUUCAGACGAGGCUGAGAGAGACUCAGCAUGCGGCAGGGAAGAUUUUGGUGGCGGAGCAGUCGAGGAAGCAGUUCGCUUGCGAUGACGCUUGCGAGAGCUGGAGGGACCAGUCGAGAGAGACGGAGAUGAAGCUGUUUCAGUAGUCUCCAUGACUUGUUUCAUACGAGCACUUCUUCGAGAGGGCUGCAUGUUGCAUUUUGAGGAAGAGAGAUGGAUG